rnacentral:rRNA from 1 species
UACGUAGGGGGCAAGCGUUGUCCGGAUUUAUUGGGCGUAAAGAGCGUGUAGGCGGCUUUGCAAGUCCGUUGUGAAAACUCGAGGCUCAACCUCGAGACGCCGGUGGAAACUGCAAAGCUAGAGUCCGGAAGAGGAGAGUGGAAUUCCUGGUGCAGCGGUGAAAUGCGCAGAUAUCAGGAAGAACACCCGUGGCGAAGGCGGCUCUCUGGGACGGUACUGACGCUGAGACGCGAAAGCGUGGGGAGCGAACAGG